GUUGCAUUCAUAUAGUGCUUAAUGUAACAUUUUUAUAAAUAUGUACAAUACACCAGCUUCCAUUCCGUGUUCUGUCGGUUUGAUAUCCAGCAAACCAAAGCUAAUAUUCUGGUCAUGUACGCUCAUACGGACUCCUUAAAACUGAAUGUAUUACACACGUGUACGUUUGUAGUGGUCAGACUGUGCUCUGACAAUAUGGAAGCGAGUUGACAUAACAUUAGCUACAACCGUAGCCUGGCUUAACGUUAGCAAGAAUUUAGCUACGAAAAUAAAAAUACAAUUAACAUCCUUUCUGCACACUUUAGUGUUUCAUUCCGUUUUUCAGACAUUACUAAAAUCGCAAUGCUACCGAUGUAUUGUGCAGAAAUUGGUACAUACCACUUUACGUUUGUAAUAACUGAAUCGUGCACUUGUAAUAGGACGUUAUUACUCUGUCAUAUCACCAUUCUCCAGUUCGCCUGCUAGCUAACAAGCUAACAAUAACAAUUAUCGCCCUUUUCUUUUUUCAACACGUAUGCGUCAUUUCCGGAUGUAAUAAAAUGUAUGACCUUGUUUUUGCAAACGCUUUACAUAAAACCAGUAGAGGCUUUGUUCGUCAAAGUUAAUUACUGCAUAUGUCAAGGGUUUUCUUUUUACUGAAAGUUAUUAAUUUAGAGAUAAAAUAUUAAUAAUAAUAAUAAUAAUAAUAAUAAUAAUGAUUGUGUGUGCAUUGAAGUUACAUAUUCGGUGCAAUUUGCUGAUGUGAUUAUUAUUUAAAUUGUAUAUCAUUAUUUAAAAGUUGACAAACUUUAUUGAAAGUAAUGCAUCCGUAGGAGGCUCUUUACAAAACACAAUGUAAACUAAACUAAGCUCAAUAAAAGACAAUACAUAUCAUACAACAACAAUAAUUAUAAUAAUACAAACACUGAAGGCUCUCCUAUUAUAACUUUGAUUUGCAGUACAGUGCUAAUUAUCUCGUAAUAAAAACAUUAUAACGUUUGAAAAAGGAAAAAAUGUGCACCAGCAUGUUGCAACUACAGCGUCGACAGGUAGACAGGUGGAGCAAGAAAUGCAGUCUCAGGUUUCAUUAUUUACUGUGGCUUUUGUAGAGACGAUCCGGAAAUGCUCAAAACGGACGAUUUCCAUCGUAAUCGCGUUUAAAUUUCAUUUAAUCAGCAAACAGUCAUGGCACCAAAAUAUGAUGGCUUGUCCCACUGUAAACUGGCCCUGGUGUUCGCAGUGCUCAUGGACCUGCUGGGUGUGAUUUCCCUGCUGCUGGGGGUCUUCGCUCCACUGGAGAUCCAAGGUCGAGACUUUGGGGAUCUGCUGGUGUACACAGGGGCCCUGCUGGUGCUAUUUUCCCUUGCAGGCUGGGUCAUGUGGUACAGUGGCAACAUAGAGGGUCUGACCUCCAGAAAGGAGUUGGGGAGUACAGUUGGUGGAGCUAUGGAUCGCCUUGCACGCUCACUGAGCCGCAGGAUACGGAACCCCAGGACUCGCAGCAGCCCAACUUAAGAAGCAGAGCGCAAAGAUACCAACAGACUGACUGACUAAAGACUGUUACAAAGAGGGCUGUCCAUAACCAGGCAGCAGGCCAAGCUGCCUGAAGCAAAGGAGUGCCACUGCCGUUUGUGGCUCUCUACACAAACACACCUUGUUCACAUGACAAAAACUCAUUUGUAUCCUCUCGGCUUGAAGUGUAUAUCGUGGACUACACUAAUGCCUGUAAUGUAAAAGAUUGAUCUUCUGUAUUUAUUUUGUUGACUUUCUUUUUGUAAAACCAACCAGAAUUAAAGUUACUCCAUUAACCAUUGAAA